UACGAAGGGGGCUAGCGUUGUUCGGAAUUACUGGGCGUAAAGCGCGCGCAGGCGGUCUUCCAAGUCAGUGGUGAAAGCCUGGAGCUCAACUCCAGAACUGCCAUUGAAACUGUUAGACUUGAGUACGAGAGAGGUGAGUGGAAUUCCCAGUGUAGAGGUGAAAUUCGUAGAUAUUGGGAAGAACACCGGUGGCGAAGGCGGCUCACUGGCCCGAUACUGACGCUGAGGCACGAAAGCGUGGGGAGCAAACAGG
rnacentral:rRNA from 1 species